rnacentral:lncRNA from 1 species
AUGCAUGCCAAUCACAUUUGCAUCACUAAAGCUAUGCUACUACCUUCAGGUGAUUUUGUGAAAAUACAUGUGGAUGGAGGAUGGAUUAGUGACACUCUGAAAGGUGGCGUCGGUGUAGUUAUUAGAAAUACUGGUGGUCAAUUUGUUGGCGGUUUAGCUGGUCCUAUUUGCUGCAAUUCAGCAUUAGCAGCGGAAGCUUAUUCAGCAAUUAAAGGGCUUGCUUUGUCUGCUAACCUUGGCUUUAGAGAUGUCAUUGUUGAAACUGACUCAAAAUUGCUUAUCAAUGGGAUAAAUGGUGACUUUAGAAACAAAGUGUGGUCCAUUAUGCCCCUUGAGGAGCUUCACAGAAUCUAUGGGUCUGUGCAUGAGGUUGGAUGGAGCUGGGUGCAUAGAGAUUUAAAUCGGGCGGCUCAUGAGGCAGCCAUGAUUGGAGUUAGAGCUAUGGAGCUGGAAAGCUGGGUCUCACGACCACCAUUGUCUCUGGUGCAAGUUCUGGUCUCAGAUGGACUCCCAUGCCCUCCUUA